rnacentral:rRNA from 1 species
UAACACGUAGGGUGCGAGCGUUGUCCGGAAUUAUUGGGCGUAAAGAGCUCGUAGGCGGUGUGUCGCGUCGGCCGUGAAAACCUGCAGCUUAACUGUGGGCUUGCGGUCGAUACGGGCAUCACUGGAGUUCGGCAGGGGAGACUGGAAUUCCUGGUGUAGCGGUGAAAUGCGCAGAUAUCAGGAGGAACACCGGUGGCGAAGGCGGGUCUCUGGGCCGAUACUGACGCUGAGGAGCGAAAGCGUGGGGAGCGAACAGGA